UCAUGGAACCCGGACGUGAGC
rnacentral:miRNA from 1 species